rnacentral:rRNA from 1 species
AACGAACGCUAGCGGCAGGCCUAAUACAUGCAAGUCGAGCGAGAAGGUGUAGCAAUACACUUGUAAAGCGGCGAACGGGUGAGGAAUACAUGGGUAAUCUACCAUCGAGUGGGGAAUAACCAACCGAAAGGUUGGCUAAUACCGCGUACGCCUCCGAAUCUUCGGGUUCGGAGGGAAAGCUGCACUGUGAGUGUAGCGCUCUUUGAUGAGCUCAUGUCCUAUCAGCUUGUUGGUAGGGUAACGGCCUACCAAGGCUUUGACGGGUAGCUGGUCUGAGAGGACGAUCAGCCACACUGGCACUGCGACACGGGCCAGACUCCUACGGGAGGCAGCAGUAAGGAAUAUUGCGCAAUGGGCGAAAGCCUGACGCAGCGACGCCGCGUGGGGAUGAAGGUCUUCGGAUUGUAAACCCUUUCGGGAGGAGAUGGAGCGAGCAAUCGUUCGGACGGUACCUCCAGAAGCAGCCACGGCCAACUUCGUGCCAGCAG